rnacentral:rRNA from 1 species
UACGUAGGGGGCAAGCGUUGUCCGGAAUCAUUGGGCGUAAAGAGCGUGUAGGCGGCUCGAUAAGUCUGCUGUGAAAGUCCAGGGCUCAACCCUGGAAGGCCGGUGGAAACUGUCGGGCUAGAGUCCGGAAGAGGCGAGUGGAAUUCCCGGUGUAGCGGUGAAAUGCGCAGAUAUCGGGAGGAACACCAAUGGCGAAGGCAGCUCGCUGGACGGUACGUGACGCUGAGACGCGAAAGCGUGGGGAAGCAAACAGGAUUAA